AUGCUUGCUUCAGCAGCAUAUACACUAAAAUUGGAACGAUACAGAGAUUAGCAUGGCCCCUGCACAAGGAUAACAUGAAAACUUGUGAAGUGUUCCAUAUUUUU